rnacentral:rRNA from 1 species
CCUACGGGAGGCAGCAGUGAGGAAUAUUGGUCAAUGGACGCAAGUCUGAACCAGCCAUGCCGCGUGCAGGAUGACGGCUCUAUGAGUUGUAAACUGCUUUUGUACGAGGGUAAACCCCGAUACGUGUAUCGGGUUGAAAGUAUCGUACGAAUAAGGAUCGGCUAACUCCGUGCCAGCAGCCGCGGUAAUACGGAGGAUCCGAGCGUUAUCCGGAUUUAUUGGGUUUAAAGGGUGCGUAGGCGGGUUGAUAAGUUAGCGGGGAAAGGUCGGGGGUCAACCCUGAAACUGCCACUAAUACUGGUGGUCUAGAGAAUAGUUGCGGUAGGCGGAAUGUAUGGUGUAGCGGUGAAAUGCAUAGAUAUCACGCAGAACCCCGAUUGCGAAGGCAGCAUGCCGGCUUCCGACUGACGCUGAAGCACGAAAGCGUGGGGAUCGAACAGGAUUAGAUACCCCAGUAGUC